UCCUCUGUGGCGCAAUUGGCUAGCGCGUCUGACUGUUAAUCAGGAGGUUGGAAGUUCGAGCCUUCCC
rfam:Trichoderma harzianum strain T6776 Scaffolds0232.1, whole genome shotgun sequence.